CAGUAGCCGCGGUAAUACGAAGGGUGCAAGCGUUAAUCGGAAUUACUGGGCGUAAAGCGUGCGUAGGCGGUGAGUUAAGUCUGCUGUGAAAUCCCCGGGCUCAACCUGGGAAUGGCAGUGGAUACUGGCUCGCUAGAGUGUGUCAGAGGAUGGUGGAAUUCCCGGUGUAGCGGUGAAAUGCGUAGAGAUCGGGAGGAACAUCAGUGGCGAAGGCGGCCAUCUGGGACAACACUGACGCUGAGGCACGAAAGCGUGGGGAACAAACAGGAUUAGAUACCCCAGUAGUCCCUGUCUCUUAUAC
rnacentral:rRNA from 1 species